rnacentral:rRNA from 1 species
GACGAACGCUGGCGGCGUGCCUAAUACAUGCAAGUCGAACGGUCUUUUCUAUGGAAGCUUGCUUCCGCUGAGAAGAUAGUGGCGAACGGGUGAGUAACACGUGGGUAACCUGCCCAUAAGAGGGGGAUAACAUCCGGAAACGGGUGCUAAUACCGCAUAGGUUUCUUGGUCGCAUGAUCGAGAAAGGAAAGACGGCCUUUGUGCUGUCACUUAUGGAUGGACACGCGGCGUAUUAGUUAGUUGGUGAGGUAACGGCUCACCAAGACGAUGAUACGUAGCCGACCUGAGAGGGUGAUCGGCCACAUUGGGACUGAGACACGGCCCAAACUCCUACGGGAGGCAGCAGUAGGGAAUCUUCCGCAAUGGACGAAAGUCUGACGGAGCAACGCCGCGUGAGUGAAGAAGGUUUUCGGAUCGUAAAACUCUGUUGUCAGAGAAGAACAAGUCGGAGAGUAACUGCUCCGGCCUUGACGGUAUCUGACCAGAAAGCCACGGCUAACUACGAGCCAGCCGCCGCGGUAA